GCGGCUGUGUCUCAGUGGUAGAGUGCAUGCCUUGGAAGUGAAAGGCUCCAGGUUUAACCCCUGGCACCUGCA